UACGAGGGUAGCUAGCGUUGCGCGGAAUCACUGGGCGUAAAGCGCACGUAGGCGGCUUUCUAAGUCAGGGGUGAAAUCCUGGAGCUCAACUCCAGAACUGCCUUUGAUACUGGAGAGCUUGAGUUCGGGAGAGGUGAGUGGAACUGCGAGUGUAGAGGUGAAAUUCGUAGAUAUUCGCAAGAACCCCAGUGGCGAAGGCGGCUCACUGGCCCGAUACUGACGCUGAGGUGCGAAAGCGUGGGGAGCAAACAGG
rnacentral:rRNA from 1 species